CUGACUGAGAGGCACUGAGAAAAAAAAUAAUAACCAGAGCCAUAGGAUACGUAUACAUCAUCUGCAAUUAUCGAACAGAAUUUAAUUGUUACCGUAUUAUUAAUCGCAUCGUUGCCCCAUUACUUCCGCUUCGUAACAACGCUUAAAUUGCCUAUUAUGUAUUUAUCCGAGUGAAAAGAGACACUCUCUGGUCACCGUACUCGCGAAGGGGAAAUUUUAAAAGGCGUUUUCUACCCACGAAUGUCUUUGUUAGCGGUUCAAAAGUGAGCCACGAGCGGACCUCGUACAAGAGCUCUAUAUACGAAGAUAAUGCCAUCAACCGUUCAUUUUGCAAAUUAGUCGUUGAGAGCGUAGCAGCGUUACAUUAAUAAUGGUCUUCAUAGCGUACAAAGUGACGGUGGUACGGCAUAAACCGGUAUACAUUUGCAAGAACUUCGCCAGGAGAAACCAGCGGACGGAAGAAAGUUGAUAAAGAUGCGAAAGAAGAGAGAGAGAGAGAGAGAGAGAAAGAGAGAGAGAACAGCUCUCGAGGAGGAACAAUCCAUCCACAGCCUACGUGCGGAUUCAAACGGAUUUAUCGGCGGAAUAAAUUAAUAAAUUACCCGAGCAUCGAGACGACGAUUGACUUCACGAGGGGUUCGUAACGCGACCCAUCCCGCAUCGAUGAUUCCGAGUCGUAAUUUAUAAAUAAAAAUACA